rnacentral:misc_RNA from 1 species
ACACCCCUCAAGCGUAGCUUGGUAUUGGGUCUUCGCCCCCGCGGCGUGCCCGAAAAGCAGUGGCGGUCCGGUGUGACUUUAAGCGCAGUAAAUUGUCGUUCGCUUUGAAAGUUCACCCCGCGGCCGGCCAGACAACCCUCUUUUAUUUUCAUA